rnacentral:misc_RNA from 1 species
UCGAGUGUUUACCUCCCCGUAAAAAAGGGGGGUUACCUCCCGUCCUUUGCUAGGGCCCCUAUUUUAGGGGCUUUUUCAGAACCCUUCUGCUUCGGCGGGGUUUAACCCUGCCGGAACACCCUCAAACUCUUUUAAUUGUUCUGUCCGAGAACUUUUUUAAAAUUGACAUA